AUGUGCAUUUUGAGUCUGGUGUUUGUCAUACAGUCUAUUUAGAAGCCGAGUCAAUUACACUGUUUUAACUGUGUAUUUUUUUAGUGUUUUUCAGAUACAGUUUUGUGUUGUUCUUUAAAUUUGUAGAGUUGCUUAACUUUGAUGUUGCAUCUGAUGCAUUUUCUACCUUUAAGGAUCUUCUUACUAAGCAUGUAAGCGUGGUCUCUGAAUUUUUGACAGCUUACUAUGACGAGGUUUGUUUCCUCCUUGACAUAUUUAUCUGAUUUGACCAUAUCAAGGCAGCACUUUUAUGCUGAUUGAGAAAAAAAUGUUUAUCUAAUAUUUAUACCCUAGGAAAUUGUGGGGAAAAUAAAUUAAUCGAUUAAUUGUUCUGCUCUCUGUGAUAUAAUUAAGUGUUCAUAUCCUCAUAUUAGAAUAUGUACAUAGUACAUAUUGCAAAUUGAAUGAUUGGUGUGGUUUUAUCUCCCAUAUUACAUUUCAACUUUUUUAAUAGGACUUUAUGUUCCCAGUUCUUUGAUAUCUAUAAGAGAAACUCUUGACAUCUCCUAAUUAUGUCACAAGGAGGCAGUCUUUGAAGGUUUGUUCUGUCAACAAUUUUCGACGUUUUUGUUUCCUUAUCAUAUUUUUAUUUCUGUGAAUUUAACAAUUAAAUUUCUAUGAAUUUUAGCUUCUCUCAGAAUUUCUUUGGAUGCUUGAUGUUCGUUCACAUCUUUAGGAGUGAAAGAAAAACAUAAUAAAGAAACACUGGGUAACUCUCUAGCUUUAUUUAUCAUUCCUAUAAGUAGAAGCUUAACAUCAAGGCAUAUUUAAAUAAAACAAGAAAAUUAAUAUAUUAAACCAGCCAGAGUUUUCCACAACAUAAAAGGAAAAAGAUGAUGGCUCUUACAACUAAUGUGAUGAGAGAUGACUCAGACAAGGUACAUAAGAGAGCAAGAGUGGGUGUGUGCACCUGUUCCACUAGCAGUUGCUAAUAGAAAAGUUGAAAUCACUGGCCCUGUGGAUUAGAAAGAUGGUCAUCAAUGCUCUCAAAUGUGGAGCUAAAGUCUUUAUGGUAUGGAAGAGGAUGUAGAAGUUUAGAUUAACUUUUUUUAGUGUCCUACGACAAAUAUGAAGGCAGAGUAGUCAGAGAAACUAGCAAAUUAGGAAGAUUGGUGUAAGCAAGUUCUUAUUAUUACUUUCUUGAUAAGGAGGGUAUGCAUUUUGUCAAUAUUUUUAAGUACAUAUCUUUUUUUAUCCUAAAGAAAAAAUUAAAAUGGUAGAUUACCGAUUUCUUUGUAUUCGUAAGUAUGGUUCAAAGAUCAUGGCAGCAUUAAGAACAAACAUGAGCAUUAGCUUCAUUUGAGAUGUAACAUUAGAAAAAUAUCUAUCAACCUAAUACCCAAAUUAGAGGAUUGACUCACAUUUCAAAGUGACAAUGUAAUAGAAAAGUUGAGUGAAUACAUGCAACCAAUUAUUUA